GACGAACGCUGGCGGCGUGCUUAACACAUGCAAGUCGAGCGGAAAGGCCCUGCUUGCAGGGUACUCGAGUGGCGAACGGGUGAGUAACACGUGGGUGAUCUGCCCUGCACUUCGGGAUAAGCUUGGGAAACUGGGUCUAAUACCGGAUAGGAACCAUCUUUAGUGUGGUGGUUGGAAAGUUUUUUCGGUGUAGGAUGAGCUCGCGGCCUAUCAGCUUGUUGGUGGGGUAAUGGCCUACCAAGGCGGCGACGGGUAGCCGGCCUGAGAGGGUGUACGGCCACAUUGGGACUGAGAUACGGCCCAGACUCCUACGGGAGGCAGCAGUGGGGAAUAUUGCACAAUGGGCGCAAGCCUGAUGCAGCGACGCCGCGUGGGGGAUGAAGGCCUUCGGGUUGUAAACUCCUUUCGCUAGGGACGAAGCUUUGUUGUGACGGUACCUAGAUAAGAAGCACCGGCUAACUACGUG
rnacentral:rRNA from 1 species